rnacentral:rRNA from 1 species
GUGACCUCAAAUCAGGUAGGACUACCCGCUGAACUUAAGCAUAUCAAUAAGCGGAGGAAAAGAAACUAACAAGGAUUCCCCUAGUAACUGCGAGUGAAGCGGGAAAAGCUCAAAUUUAAAAUCUGGUGGUCUUUUGGCUGCCCGAGUUGUAAUCUAGAGAAGUGUUAUCCGCGCUGGACCGUGUACAAGUCUCCUGGAAUGGAGCAUCAUAGAGGGUGAGAAUCCCGUCUUUGACAUGGACUCCCAGGGCUUUUGUGAUGCGCUCUCAAAGAGUCGAGUUGUUUGGGAAUGCAGCUCAAAAUGGGUGGUAAAUUCCAUCUAAAGCUAAAUAUUGGCGAGAGACCGAUAGCGAACAAGUACCGUGAGGGAAAGAUGAAAAGAACUUUGGAAAGAGAGUUAAACAGUGCGUGAAAUUGCUGAAAGGGAAACGCUUGAAGUCAGUCACGUUGUCCAGGGAUCAACCUUGCUUUUGCUUUGGUGCACUUUCUGGUUAACGGGUCAGCAUCAAUUUUGACCAUUGGAAAAAGAUUAGGGGAAUGUGACAUCUUCGGAUGUGUUUAUAGUCCUUGGUUGCAUACAAUGGUUGGGAUUGAGGAACUCAGCACGC